rnacentral:lncRNA from 1 species
UUUUAUUUUUAUCUGUACUAUGAAGUGAGUUGAUGUCAGGUUUGUUCGCUCUCUGCCUCAAGGAUGAAGUCUGUCAGAUGGAGGACCACUGUGCCAAGCGAGGGCGAAGGCUCGAGUGUGGAGGAG